rnacentral:rRNA from 1 species
AGUGAACGCUGGCGGUAGGCCUAACACAUGCAAGUCGAACGGCAGCACAGUAAGAGCUUGCUCUUACGGGUGGCGAGUGGCGGACGGGUGAGGAAUACAUCGGAAUCUACUUUUUCGUGGGGGAUAACGUAGGGAAACUUACGCUAAUACCGCAUACGACCUACGGGUGAAAGCAGGGGAUCUUCGGACCUUGCGCGAUUGAAUGAGCCGAUGUCGGAUUAGCUAGUUGGCGGGGUAAAGGCCCACCAAUGCGACGAUCCGUAGCUGGUCUGAGAGGAUGAUCAGCCACACUGGAACUGAGACACGGUCCAGACUCCUACGGGAGGCAGCAGUGGGGAAUAUUGGACAAUGGGCGCAAGCCUGAUCCAGCCAUACCGCGUGGGUGAAGAAGGCCUUCGGGUUGUAAAGCCCUUUUGUUGGGAAAGAAAAGCAGCAGGUUAAUACCCCGCUGUUCUGACGGUACCCAAAGAAUAAGCACCGGCUAACUUCGU